AAUGUACAUGCCCUUGACCGGAAUUGAACCCGGGACCUUUCAGUCCGCAGGCCAACGCUCUAUCCAUUGAGCCAAACCGGUUUCGGCUUGUAUAUAUCUUACCAUUACUUACCCCCCCCCCCCCCACUCCCAUACAUGCCCUCCCUCCCCAGAGUUUUUUGUCCAUUAUCCACCAACAGUAAGAGAAGCUUUGCAGUCAAGAGAUGUUGUUUAACAGAUGGAGUGGUUUCUGUUGGACACUAAGUACUGCUACAAAU